rnacentral:rRNA from 1 species
UACGAAGGGGGCUAGCGUUGCUCGGAAUCACUGGGCGUAAAGCGCACGUAGGCGGAUCUUUAAGUCAGGGGUGAAAUCCUGGAGCUCAACUCCAGAACUGCCUUUGAUACUGGGGAUCUCGAGUCCGGAAGAGGUGAGUGGAACUCCGAGUGUAGAGGUGAAAUUCGUAGAUAUCGGGAGGAACACCGGUGGCGAAGGCGGCGACCUGGGUCGAGACUGACGCUGAGGCGCGAAAGCGUGGGGAGCAAACAGG